rnacentral:lncRNA from 1 species
UGAGUCAGCAGAUAUUUAUAUACUGUGCUUGAUUUUAGCUAAGUAACAUGUACAUUUUCCAGGUACAAUGUCAUAAUUUCUGCCACAGUGGAAACUUGACGGACCCUUGCAGUUCUAUUUAAAAUCAUGAGGGGAUCAUCCUCCUUUGUGACAGAGCAAAGAAAUAGAAUUUUCGUGUCAUGCUGCAUUUGGGACAAAAUCUCAUGCAAGAUGGAUCAAAAUUGGGAAAAGGAAAGGUGAAAAGCGUUUUAGAAAGGAAGAUGCACCCAGGCACGUCAAUCCGAACAAAUAAAAAAAUUCCCAUGGGAAAGAUCACGUAAGUAUAUGGAAAAAUAAAUCUAAGUCAAAACCUGUAAAAAUGUUAUCA